UACGAAGGGGGCGAGCGUUGUUCGGAAUUACUGGGCGUAAAGGGCGCGUAGGCGGCCGAUCAAGUCAGAUGUGAAAGUCCUGGGCUUAACCUGGGGACUGCAUUUGAUACUGAUUGGCUUGAAUGCAGGAGAGGAUAGCGGAAUUCCCAGUGUAGAGGUGAAAUUCGAUAGAUAUUGGGAAGAACACCGGUGGCGAAGGCGGCUAUCUGGACUGUGAUUGACGCUGGAGGCGACGAAAGCGUGGGGAGCAAACAGG
rnacentral:rRNA from 1 species